rnacentral:rRNA from 1 species
GAUGAACGCUGGCGGCGUGCCUAAUACAUGCAAGUCGAGCGAACAGACGAGGAGCUUGCUCCUUUGACGUUAGCGGCGGACGGGUGAGUAACACGUAGGUAACCUACCUAUAAGACGGGGAUAACUUCGGGAAACCGGAGCUAAUACCGGAUAAUAUUUCGAACCGCAUGGUUCGAUAGUGAAAGAUGGCUUUGCUAUCACUUAUAGAUGGACCUGCGCCGUAUUAGCUAGUUGGUAAGGUAACGGCUUACCAAGGCAACGAUACGUAGCCGACCUGAGAGGGUGAUCGGCCACACUGGAACUGAGACACGGUCCAGACUCCUACGGGAGGCAGCAGUAGGGAAUCUUCCGCAAUGGGCGAAAGCCUGACGGAGCAACGCCGCGUGAGUGAUGAAGGUCUUCGGAUCGUAAAACUCUGUUAUUAGGGAAGAACAAACGUGUAAGUAACUGUGCACGUCUUGACGGUACCUAAUCAGAAAGCCACGGCUAACUACGUG